UACGUAGGGCGCAAGCGUUAAUCGGAAUUACUGGGCGUAAAGCGUGCGCAGGCGGUCGCGUAAGCCAGAUGUGAAAUCCCCGGGCUUAACCUGGGAACUGCAUUUGGUACUGCGUGGCUGGAGUGCGGCAGAGGAAGGUGGAAUUCCUGGUGUAGCAGUGAAAUGCGUAGAGAUCAGGAGGAACACCGAUGGCGAAGGCAGCCUUCUGGGCCAGCACUGACGCUCAUGCACGAAAGCGUGGGGAGCAGACGGG
rnacentral:rRNA from 1 species